UACAUCCAUCUAUCAUCCCCUUAAUUUGCAGCAACAAACAGCUCGUACGUGUCUGGUGAAAUCGAGGCUAGCUAUGGCGUCCAAAACUCAGCUCUUAGUUUACCUGCUCGUUGCAUUCUUCUUCUUCUUCCUUGUGGCUUCUCCGGUUGAUGCUGCUAGAAAACUAGGUGACACACACACUCUCUCUCUCUCUCUCUCUCUCUCUCUCACACACACACACACACACAGUCACACACACACACACACACACAUUUUUAGCACCCAAAAUAAUAUAGUGAAAUAUGUUUGCUUUUCAGCUGAUGAUUACACAGGACUUCCACCUAUUCCACCUUCCUACGGCACGCCACCAGCAGGACCGUAGGGCGGAGUUUGCAUCGUACGGUGGAGGGGUUUACAAUUAUACACAUACAUAUACAUAUCUGAAAAUAAUGUCCAAAUAUAUAUAUCGGGUACGACCAUACAUAUACAUAUAAACUUCUACUACGAAUAAAAUGUACUACAUGGGUACGUCGACACACAUGUAUUGUAC
rnacentral:lncRNA from 1 species